GCUGGGCGUGGUGGCGCACGCCUGUAGUCCCAGCUGCUUGGGAGGCUGAGGCAGGAGAAUCACUUGUAUCCAGGAGACGAAGAUUGCAGUGAGAUGAGAUCAUGCCACUGCACUCCAGCCUGGGUGACAGAGUGAGACUCUGUCUCAA
ensembl:misc_RNA Metazoa_SRP Metazoan signal recognition particle RNA